UUGUGUUUUAUAAAACGAUCUCGAGACACGACGCUGUCUUGGGAAGUGUAAAAUGACAGCCGAAUCUCAAGUCAUCGAUCGACCUUCCUCAAGACCGCGAUUCUAACCUAACUUUAAGUAAAAGCAUUUUUAGAGUUUAUUGAUAAUAUUGGAGAAGAAAAUCGCCCGGGAAGUAUACAAAAGCGAUAUAUUCAAGAUAAAAAUAUAAUCUAAAAUACAAUGGAGUAUUACAAUAUUGAAGUUCAUCAGCGAAUCAGCGCAUUAACUUAAACAACAAAGGUUUUAUGCUACUUAUAGGAAUAUAACCAGUUUUUAUGAGGAAGCCCACUUUCCAAAAAUGUACAGGUACUAGAAGAGAAAUUACUGUUCAACUGAGAAUUAUGUAUAUUACUGUUCAACAACAAGUUUAUCAAGUCAUUCAAUAUUUGAUCUAAGAGCAUUAAGAGUGAAAUUGUGAAAUGGAAAGAAGUGAAAUUCCAGGAUUAUUAAUAGGAAUAGAUGACAGUAGUGGGUAUGCAUGCAG
rnacentral:lncRNA from 1 species